UCCGUAGGUGAACCUGCGGAAGGAUCAUUACAGAAAUAGGAGAAGGUUGCUUAACUGCAAUCCUUUUCUUUCUACACAUGUGUUUUUCUUUUUUUUGAAAACUUUGCUUUGGUGGGCCCACGGCCUGCCAGAGAUUAAACUCAACCAAAUUUUUAUUUAAUUGUCAACUUGAUUAACUAAUAGUCAAAACUUUCAACAACGGAUCUCUUGGUUCUCGCAUCGAUGAAGAACGCAGCGAAAUGCGAUAAGUAAUAUGAAUUGCAGAUAUUCGUGAAUCAUCGAAUCUUUGAACGCACAUUGCGCCCUUUGGUAUUCCAAAGGGCAUGCCUGUUUGAGCGUCAUUUCUCCCUCAAACCUUCGGGUUUGGUGUUGAGCGAUACGCUGGGUUUGCUUGAAAGAAAGGCGGAGUAUAAACUAAUGGAUAGGUUUUUUUUUUCCACUCAUUGGUACAAACUCCAAACAUUCUUCCAAAUUCGACCUCAAAUCAGGUAGGACUACCCGCUGAACUUAAGCAUAUCAAUAA
rnacentral:misc_RNA from 1 species